CGGGGAGCACCACAACGGGUGGAGCUUGCGGUUUAAUUGGAUUCAACGCCGGAAAUCUUACCGGGACCGACAGCAAUAUGAAGGCCAGGCUGAAGACUUUGCCGGAUUAGCUGAGAGGUGGUGCAUGGCCGUCGUCAGUUCGUACUGUGAAGCAUCCUGUUAAGUCAGGCAACGAGCGAGACCCACGCCCACAGUUGCCAGCGUACUCUCUGGAGUGACGGGUACACUGUGGGACCGCCGCUGCUAAAGCGGAGGAAGGAAUGGGCAACGGUAGGUCAGUAUGCCCCGAAUAUCCCGGGCUACACGCGAGCUACAAUGGUUGGUACAAUGGGUAUCUACCCCGAAAGGGGACGGGAAUCUCCUAAAACCAAUCUUAGUUCGGAUUGAGGGCUGCAACUCGCCCUCAUGAAGCUGGUAUCCGUAGUAAUCGCGUUUCAACAGAACGCGGUGAAUACGUCCCUGCUCCUU
rnacentral:rRNA from 1 species